CAGACAUGUUUUUGUACCACUGUCUAUGCCACCUAUAAGUAUCUCCAUGGGCAGUUUUCCUUCCACCACCACAAAAUUAAGCAAAUAGCACUCCUUUGUACUCUGUUUGUGUGGUUACUAUGGUAGUGACCUGGAUUUCGCACCUAGGAUAACCCUAUUUGGGGCAGGGGAGAGAAAUAGGGACCAAAAGAAUGAAAGAGUAAGUUAGGUCAACGGUCAACACCUUUAAACAUUUACUUUUCCCUUGGAACAGACUUUGGCCAAAAUCUAUAAAACUCUGACCUGAUCCUUCAGUUUCCUGGCAUGAAAGUACUUAGCAUUAUGAUGCGAACACCAUGACACUGGCAAGAUCAGCAACCUUUUCCCUGCUCUUAAGAAGCAUUACAAUUCUGUUUCCCACCAUCCCCCAAAUUACCACCUCACCCUCCCCCCAGCCCAAGUCAGGGCCCAAUUCACAGGUUCUAAUGACCACACAAUGGAAAUACCAUGUGGUAACUGGAAGUCUUUGAUGGAAAACAGAUGAGAGAGAACACUCUGCUUGUCCAGCACUUUUAUAUGUACAGCCCUCCCCCAAUGCCUUUGAGGAUGUCACCAUCCUUAUGUGCAUUGGAAUAUGUCUGGCUGAUACUGGAAUAAGGUUAGGCAAGAAAUCUGUGACACUAGCCAUCAUGACCAUCUUAAACCAAAGGAAAAAAUGUCCCCAUCUUUGAAAAAUGUUUGUAAAGGAAUUCACAAAUACUAUACCAGGCUUGGCAAAGAUGGAAAGGCUCUAUUCACGAAGGCAGAAAACAAGCCACAGGACUUACCCCACAGCAAAACUCACUUGCUGGAUGCCAACACACUACAGAUUUCAACAGCCUGCCAUGUCCUCCCUUCAUUCCUCCCCGUCUGCUCGGGGUGGAGGAGGGGGCAGAAAAAUACAACCUGCCACAAGACUGUGAUUAAAGAGCAUCUAAGAGUGAAAAGGCUACAGACAAAUUUGGUUUGUUUACUUCCUCCUCCUCCUCCUCCUCAAUCCUGUUACCAGCUU
rnacentral:lncRNA from 1 species